rnacentral:rRNA from 1 species
AGGUAUUGGACUACCAUGGCAGUCACGGGUAACGGAGAAUUAGGGUUCGGUUCCGGAGAGGGAGCCUGAGAAACGGCUACCACAUCUAAGGAAGGCAGCAGGCGCGUAAAUUACCCAAUCCUGAUUCAGGGAGGUAGUGACAAGAAAUAGCAAACUGGAUGAUUUUUCAUCACAGUAUUGCAAUGAGAACAACGUAAAUGCUUUAUCGAUUAACAAUUGGAGGGCAAGUCUGGUGCCAGCAGCCGCGGUAAUUCCAGCUCCAAUAGCGUAUAUUAAAGUUGUUGCAGUUAAAAAGCUCGUAGUUGAACUUCUGUACGUUCCCAGUUCUGGCUUUGGUCAAGCUGUGGAGCGUGCAUCCGCUUGCAAACUUAGACCGGCCUUCACUGGUCGACUAAGGGAGUAAGCCCUUUACUUUGAAAAAAUUAGAGUGUUUCUAGCAGGCUUUGGCUCGAAUACAUUAGCAUGGAAUAAUGGAAUAGGACUUUUGUCCAUUUGGUUGGUUAUUGGACAUUAGUAAUGAUUAAAAGGGACAGUUGGGGGCAUUAGUACUUAAUAGUCAGAGGUGAAAUUCUUGGAUUUAUUAAAGACUAACUUAUGCGAAAGCAUUUGCCAAGGAUGUUUUCAUUAAUCAAGAACGAAAGUUAGGGGAUCAAAGACGAUCAGAAUACCG